GAUGAACGCUGGCGGCGUGCCUAAUACAUGCAAGUCGAGCGAACCGACGCGGCGCUUGCUCCUCUGACGUUAGCGGCGGACGGGUGAGUAACACGUGGAUCACCUCCCUAUCAGACUGGGAUAUAUUCGGGACACCGGAGCUAAUACCGGAUAAUCUAUUGAACCGCAUGGUUCAAUAGUGAAUGUCGGUUUUGCUGUCUCUUCUAGAUGGAUCCGCGCUUCUUUAGUUAGUAGGUAAGGUAAAGGCUUACCACGGCGACUAUGCGUAGCCGACCGGCGAGGGGGAUCGGCCACACUGGAACGGAGACACGGUCCAGGCGCCUACGGGAGGCACCAGUAGGGAAUGUGCGGCAAUGGGCGAAAGCCUGGCGGAGCAACGCCACGUGAGAUAUGAAGGUCUUCGGUGCGUAAAACUCGGUUAUUAGGGAAGAACAAAUUUGGAAGGAGCUAUGCACGUCGUGACGGUACCGAAUCAGAAAGCCACGGCUAACUACGUG
rnacentral:rRNA from 1 species